rnacentral:rRNA from 1 species
UCGAGCGCCCCGCAAGGGGAGCGGCAGACGGGUGAGUAACGCGUGGGAAUCUACCCACCACUACGGAACAACUCCGGGAAACUGGAGCUAAUACCGUAUACGUCCUUCGGGAGAAAGAUUUAUCGGUGAUGGAUGAGCCCGCGUUGGAUUAGCUAGUUGGUGGGGUAAUGGCCUACCAAGGCGACGAUCCAUAGCUGGUCUGAGAGGAUGAUCAGCCACACUGGGACUGAGACACGGCCCAGACUCCUACGGGAGGCAGCAGUGGGGAAUAUUGGACAAUGGGCGAAAGCCUGAUCCAGCCAUGCCGCGUGAGUGAUGAAGGCCCUAGGGUUGUAAAGCUCUUUCACCGGUGAAGAUAAUGACGGUAACCGGAGAAGAAGCCCCGGCUAACUUCGUGCCAGCAGCCGCGGUAAUACGAAGGGGGCUAGCGUUG